GCCUUGAGAGUUACUAAUGUGAGGUAGAGCGACUGAUAAGAUGCGAGGGCUUCACCGCCUAUCAAGUCUUGAUAAACUCCGAAUGCGCAUUAGUUCUAUCUCAGGAGUGAGGGCAUGGGUGCUAAGGUCCAUGUCCUAAAGGAGAAGAAUCCAGACCAUCAGCUAAGGUCCCAAAGUGUGUGUUAAGUGGUAAAGGAUGUGGGAUUUCGAAGACAACUAGGAUGUUGGCUCAGAAGCAGCCAUACAUUCAAAGAGUGCGUAAUAGCUCACUAGUCGAGAGGUCCUGCGCCGAAAAUGUCCGGGGCUAAAACACACCACCGAAGCUAUGGAAUGUGAAAACAUUGGUAGAGGAGCAUUCUUAACGUGACGAAGCUGUACCGGAAGGAGCAGUGGAGUGUUAAGAAGAGAGAAUGCCGGAAUGAGUAGCGAGAUUUAAGUGAGAAUCUUAAAGGCCGAAUAUCUAAGGUUUCCAGGGUAAAGCUGAUCUUCCCUGGGUAAGUCGGGGCCUAAGGCGAGGACGAAAGUCGUAGUCGAUGGAUAACAGGUAGAAAUUCCUGUACCACAUACAAACAGAACUGUGGGGACGCAGAGAGAAAGCCAGAGCCGGAAAUGGAAAAGCCGGUGCAAGCGAGGUAUCCGUAAGGGAGGCAAAUCCCCCUUACAAGGAGAAGACGUAAUGCGGAGUGAACUAUAAGUAACGAAGCUGGUGAGCUAGCUGCCAAGAAAAGCCGCUAUUGUUUUGUAUGUGCCCGUACCGUAAACCGACACAGGUGGAUGAGGAGAGAAUCCUAAGGCCGGCGGGAGAAGUGUUGUUAAGGAACUCGGCAAAAUGACUCCGUAACUUCGGGAGAAGGAGUGCCAUAGAGAUAUGGCCGCAGAGAAAUGGCCCAAGCAACUGUUUAGCAAAAACACAGGUCUAUGCAAAACCGAAAGGUGAGGUAUAUGGGCUGACGCCUGCCCGGUGCUGGAAGGUUAAGAGGAGAGCUUAGCGCAAGCGAAGGUUUGAAUUUAAGCCCCAGUAAACGGCGGCCGUAACUAUAACGGUCCUAAGGUAGCGAAAUUCCUUGUCGGGUAAGUUCCGACCCGCACGAAAGGCGUAAUGAUUUGGGCACUGUCUCGACAACACACCCGGUGAAAUUGAAAUACCAGUGAAGAUGCUGGUUACCUGCGCCAGGACGGAAAGACCCCAUGGAGCUUUACUCCAGUUUGAUACUGGGAUUCGGUACUGUCUGUACAGGAUAGGUGGGAAGCUAGGAAAUGAUGACGCCAGUUGUCAUGGAGCUGACCUUGGGAUACCACCCUUACAGUACUGGGUUUCUAACCUGCAGCCGUGACCCGGCUGGGGGACAAUGUCUGACGGGGAGUUUGACUGGGGCGGUCGCCUCCGAAAGGGUAUCGGAGGCGCUCAAAGGUUCCCUCAGAAUGGUCGGAAACCAUUCGAAGAGUGCAAAGGCAGAAGGGAGCUUGACUGCGACACCGACGGGUGGAGCAGGUACGAAAGUAGGACUUAGUGAUCCGGUGGUAUAACGUGGGAUUGCCAUCGCUCAACGGAUAAAAGCUACCCUGGGGAUAACAGGCUUAUCACUCCCAAGAGUUCACAUCGACGGAGUGGUUUGGCACCUCGAUGUCGGCUCAUCGCAUCCUGGAGCUGUAGCAGGUUCCAAGGGUUGGGCUGUUCGCCCAUUAAAGCGGUACGCGAGCUGGGUUCAGAACGUCGUGAGACAGUUCGGUCCCUAUCCGGCGUGGGCGUAGGAUAUUUGAGAGGAGCUGUCCUUAGUACGAGAGGACCGGGAUGGACGGACCGCUGGUGUAUCUGUUGUUGACCAACAGCAUGGCAGAGUAGCCAAGUCCGGCAGGGAUAAACGCUGAAGGCAUCUAAGCGUGAAGCCCCCCUCAAGAUUAGAUAUCCCAUUCUUUAAAGAAAUAAGACCCCUUGAAGACUACGAGGUUGAUAGGUCUGAGGUGUAAGUGCGGUAACGCAUUCAGCUGACAGAUACUAAUAGGUCGAAGACUUAUCCUGAG
rnacentral:rRNA from 1 species